CUGUAAUAAGGCCCAAUUGGCCCAGACUAUUUACAAAACAAAAAAUGGGCCGUCCAGGCCCAAUAGUCCAAAACCUAGCCCACCUAACAUCCUAAACUUCCCAAACCCUAGCCCCAUGUUCAGUUCAGCGCCGCGAGCCCCCACAACGUGCUCCGCCUCCGACAACUCCAAUCGGCGCAUGCUUCGGAGCCAACUCCCCCGCGCAUCACGCCCCUCGCCGCCGUGAAUCUCGCGCACGCACGUACCUGCAACAAGCGAAGGAGAGGAGCAAAAAUCGGGCCAACCGAAUAGAUUUUUUUGGAUUUAUUUUUCUUUCCCAUUUGCGGCUAUAAAAGGCCAAUAUUUCCAGUGUAAAGGGGGGAACAAAGAUUGUAUCAAAAUUAUUAAAAAAACAGAGGAAAAAAUCAAUAAGAGCAAAUCGAUUAUUCGUUUUUUUAAAGAGGGAUGAUCAUUCUUUUAUUUUUUUUUCAUAUAUACAUAUAUCUUAUUUUUUUUCUAUAUAGUUUCUUUUUAUUUUUAUUUAUUUUUGUUUAAAAUAUAAAGAAAAGGGACGAACAUACCUUUUUUUCGACGGAAUCGCUGAGUUGGCGCCCCUCUCCGUCGCGAUCAGAGACCGGGGCGUCGACGGAGGCCGUGGUAUGCCUCGAUUGGCGGCGGCGGUAUAAAAGAGGAACCCUAGCAGAGCUUCUCUGUUAUUUUUUUU
rnacentral:lncRNA from 1 species